GACGAACGCUGGCGGCGUGCUUAACACAUGCAAGUCGAGCGGUGACCCUCCUUCGGGAGGUGAUCAGCGGCGAACGGGUGAGUAACACGUGGGCAACCUGCCCCUCACACUGGGAUAACCUCGGGAAACCGGGGCUAAUACCGGAUACGACCUCGAGCGGCAUCUCUUGAGGUGGAAAGCUCCGACGGUGAGGGAUGGGCCCGCGGCCUAUCAGCUUGUUGGUGGGGUAAUGGCCUACCAAGGCGACGACGGGUAGCCGGCCUGAGAGGG
rnacentral:rRNA from 1 species